rnacentral:rRNA from 1 species
UGACCGCUGGCGGCGUGCCUAAUACAUGCAAGUCGAGCGAACGGACGAGAAGCUUGCUUCUCUGAUGUUAGCGGCGGACGGGUGAGUAACACGUGGAUAACCUACCUAUAAGACUGGGAUAACUUCGGGAAACCGUAGCUAAUACCGGAUAAUAUUUUGAACCGCAUGGUUCAAAAGUGAAAGACGGUCUUGCUGUCACUUAUAGAUGGAUCCGCGCUGCAUUAGCUAGUUGGUAAGGUAACGGCUUACCAAGGCAACGAUGCAUAGCCGACCUGAGAGGGUGAUCGGCCACCCUGGAACUGAGCCACGGUCAAGACUCCUACGGGAGGCAGCAGUAGGGAAUCUGCCGCAAUGGGCGAAAGCAUGACGGAGCAGCGCCGCGUGAGUGAUGAAGGUCUUCGGAUCGUAAAACUCUGUUAUUAGGGAAAAACAGAUGUGUAAGUAACUGUGCACAUCUUGACGGUACCUAAUCAGAAAGCCACGGCUAACUACGUG